rnacentral:misc_RNA from 1 species
AACGCACCUUGCGCCCCAUGGUAUUCCAUGGAGCAUGCCUGUUUGAGUGUCACGUGAAACUAUCACUCUUGUCUUGUCGCAAGACAUGUCAGGAUGUGGACUUGGACUGUGCCGUAGUUGGCUCGUCUUGAAAUGCAUUAGCCGUGCUGGUUAGAUUCGGCCACCUGGUGUGAUAUACGUCUACGCCUACUGUGCUGUCUCUUCCUGAGCGUGGCUCAUAAUCGUCGCUUGUUCGACAACACAAAUUAACGCUCUGGCCUCAAAUCAGGUAGGACUACCCGCUGAACUUAA